rnacentral:rRNA from 1 species
CAGCCGCCGCGGUAAUACGGAGGGUGCAAGCGUUAAUCGGAAUUACUGGGCGUAAAGCGCACGCAGGCGGUCUGUCAAGUCAGAUGUGAAAUCCCCGGGCUUAACCUGGGAACUGCAUUUGAAACUGGCAGGCUAGAGUCUUGUAGAGGGGGGUAGAAUUCCAGGUGUAGCGGUGAAAUGCGUAGAGAUCUGGAGGAAUACCGGUGGCGAAGGCGGCCCCCUGGACAAAGACUGACGCUCAGGUGCGAAAGCGUGGGGAGCAAACAGGAUUAGAUACCCGAGUAGUCCCUGUCUCUUAUAC